rnacentral:rRNA from 1 species
UACGUAGGGAGCAAGCGUUGUCCGGAAUCAUUGGGCGAAAGCGCGCGUAGGCGGCCCGGUAAGUCCGCUGUAAAAGUCCAGGGCUCAACCCUGGAAAGCCGGUGGAUACUGUCGGGCUCGAGUCCGGAAGAGGCGAGUGGAAUUCCUGGUGUAGCGGUGGAAUGCGCAGAUAUCAGGAGGAACACCGAUGGCGAAGGCAGCUCGCUGGGACGGUACUGA